rnacentral:lncRNA from 1 species
CUGAGCCCCAGCUCCGUUCCCCAGCCACGGACAGCAGCUCUGCCCCCCUGCUAGAGGCCGCAGGAUCGGGCCCCGUGCCCCGAGCAGGGGAUGCGCGGCCACCUGCGAGGCGCUCAGCCUGCUCCAGCCCCGAGUGGGGAGCUCCCGGCCGCUCUCGGGCAUGUCCUUUAAAGGCCUUCUCGCUCCGAGCCGUUCCCUGGCAGCUCCUUCAGCUCCAGAUGCAGUCGCUCUCCCCUCCGAGGAGGCUCUGCCGCCGCCGGCUUGCACCGCCUGGGGCCCCGGACCCGCCGGCCGAGCCACCCCCCUCGGCCCCCUCCCGGGGACCCGACUGCACCGAGGGCUGGGUGCGAGCCGUCGGCUGCUCGGGACGGAUUUGGGCAGGUGUGCUGGUCCUGGAGCCUCCGCACUGUGCAAAUGAAGCCGCUCGUGGGGACCUCGCCGGGCGCGGGGGAAGAGGCGCAGGGACGUGCCCAGGGGCGUGCGGCGCGGCAGCGGCACAGGAGGGGCUGCCGGCAGAGCCCCCCGGCUCGCAGGGAGCAGCAGGCAGAGCCGGCCGGGCUCCCCGCGUCUCCGGAUGA